rnacentral:lncRNA from 1 species
CGCGGAGUGUCGGUGAAGUCAGCGCCGAGUCUCAGAAAAACAGAGCGGGGCCAACUGCAGCGUGUAGUGCGAGCAGGGCAGGACACGCGCGCCGGCCCGCCCGGCGACCCGCGAGGAUUUCUCUAUUCAAUGAGUUUGUGAAGCCUCUCUGCUCAGAGCUCCAGGACCAAUGCAACUCCCCAGCAGCACCCUAAGCCACUGAAUACAUUCACCAAAGAAGACUCAUAAAGUAUAAAUGAAUGGACUGAGGAGGUUCAUGGACUCUCCUUCCAACCCAGUUGGAAAACCAUAGAAAGGUGACAGGGGACCUCCAUCAACCCUUCUGAUUCUGAUGUUCCAGAUGAAACUUGCAAGGAAAUGAGCGUGCAGU